rnacentral:rRNA from 1 species
GAAGCUGGCACCUCCGGUGUCCGCGUUGUAAUCUCGAGACGUGUUUUCCGUGCGGCUCUAUGGACAAGUCCCUUGGAAUAGGGCAUCGUAGAGGGUGAGAAUCCCGUACUUGCCAUGGAAGAACCGUGCUUUGCGAUACACGCUCUAAGAGUCGAGUUGUUUGGGAUUGCAGCUCAAAAUGGGUGGUAGACUCCAUCUAAAGCUAAAUAUCGGGGAGAGACCGAUAGCGAACAAGUACCGUGAGGGAAAGAUGAAAAGCACUUUGGAAAGAGAGUUAAAAGUACGUGAAAUUGUCGAAAGGGAAGCACUUGAAGUCAGCCAUGCUGCUUGAGACUCAGCCUGGCCUUUGGGCUUGGUGUAUUUCUCGGUGGCAAGCCAGCAUUGGUUUGGGUCGUCGGAGAAGCGCAUAGGGAAUGUAGCGUCUCCGGACGUGUUAUAGCCUUAUGCAGGAUACGACGACCUGGAUCAAGGAACGCAGUGUGCCCUCUGGG